rnacentral:rRNA from 1 species
GACGAACGCUGGCGGCGUGCUUAACACAUGCAAGUCGAACGGAAAGGCCCUGCUUUUGUGGGGUGCUGGAGUGGCGAACAGGUGAGUAUCACGUGAGUAACCUGCCCUUUACUUUGGGGUAACUUCAGGAAACUCGGGCUCAUACCGGGUAGGAGCUCCUUCUGCAUGGUGGGGGUUGGAAAAUUUCGGCGGUUCGGGAUGGACUCGCGGCUUAUCAGCUUGUUGGCUGGGUAGUGGCUUACCAAGGCUUCGACGGGUAGCCGGCCUGAGAGGGUGACCGGCGACAUUGGGACUGAGAGACGGCCCAGAAUCCUACGGGAGGCAGCAGUGGGGAAUAUUGCAGAAUGGGCGGAAGUGUGAUGCAGCAAUGCUGCGUGCGGGAUGACCGCCUUGGGGUUGUAAACCGCUUUCGCCGGUGACGAAGCGUGAGGGACGGGUAUGGGUAAAGAAGGACCGGGUAAAUUCGGG